UGGUGGCGCAGUGGUUGAGAGUCCGCCUGCCGAUGCAGGGGACGCGGGUUCGUGCCCCGGUCCGGGAAGAUCCCAUAUGCCGCGGAGCGGCUGGGCCCGUGAGUCAUGGCCGCUGGGCCUGCGCGUCCGGAGCCUGUGCUCCGCAACGGGAGAGGCCACAGCAGUGAGAGGCCCGCCCACCGCAAAACAAACAAACAAAAAAAAACAGCAGCCUGCAGUGAUCCCGGGAGCGAUACCACAGAGGGCUCUUGCUGGGUUACCAUCUUGGACUUGAAGGAGGCCUUUUUUGCACACCCUUGAGUUUUGAAUCCCAAGAGUUGUUUUGCUUUCGAAGGGAAGAUCGAGAUAAAGGAGGUGAACUCCAGUACUGCUGGACAGUGCUUCCUCAGGGAGUGAAAAAUUCUCACGAUACUUGGGGAAAUCCUGGCGAGACCUGAGGGACCUUGAACUAAACAGGGGAGCCCUGCUCCAGGAUGUGGAAAAUGCCCUGAUUACCAGUGAGACAGAGGACUCCUGAGACCAAGGUUAAACAUACAGGAGAUCGGCUUCAUCCCUGCUGGACGGGACCUUAUGAGAAAUGCGAUGGGAAACGGAAACCAUGCUGCAGAAGGAAAACCGCGACCAAGAUCAUCCAAACCUUGCCUGGUUCCAGCCCCCGACACUGACUUCUUCCAGGGGCAGGUGAACCCUGACAGAUCUUCAGUUGCUUUUCAGAAGCUGCGAGAAAGAAAUCAAGAACUUGGAGGCAACUCCUUCCUCCCAGGCCCACAGUCCUCCCUUCCCUCCUGGCUAGAGCACUUCCUGAGUGGAGGACGAAGGCUGGAGGAGCCCAGGGCACCGGAUCCGGUGGGUGUGACCGCCCCCCCUGCCGCCAGGAUGGACACCAGCUGGUCCCGUGCACCAGUCCAGCAUCUCGGCUCCCAGGGAGGCGAGCCUGACCCGGAGCGAGGAGGUGACUGCCCGAGCACGGAUGCUCCUACCCGGCUGUUCUCGGGUGAGCCUAGGGUGAGGCUGUGGAGCCUGAAAGUCUGGGGCUGUGAGGACCAGGCUCGGCUCACAGAUGGAGGAACAAGCCGGAGGGAGGGCCAGCUGACCAUGGCCGCAAGGCCACUCGUCGCAGCUGAGAUCCAGGCCCGGGAUGCCGUGCUGUGUCCCCACGUGCUGUCCUGUGCUGCGGGCUGAGCGGGUGUGCCCUUGGUGCAGCGGACGGAGUGCGGUUCUCAGCCUGGGGCUUCAACCCAGUAAGACGAUGUUUGUGGAUUUCGUCAGCAGCUGUGACACAGGAUUUCCUUUCCCUGGUUGUACAGGUUUUUUAAAAUUAAUUUUUGGCCACGUUGGGUCUUCGUUGCUGUGCACGGGCUUUCUCUGGUUGUGGCAAGUGGGGUCUACUCUUCUUUGUGGUGCACGGGCUUCUCACUGCGGUGGCUUCUCAUUGCGGAGCACAGGCUCUAGGUGUGCUCGCUUCAGUACUUGUGGCAUGCAGGUUCAGUGGUUGUGGCUCACAGGCUCCAGAGCCCAGGCUCAGUAGUUGUGGCACAUGGGCUUAGUUGCUCUGCAGCAUGUGGGAUCUUCCCGGACCAGGUCUCGAACCUGUGUUCCCUGCACCACCAGCAAAGUAAGUAUCUGAUUGUACAGUUUUAAAUGUAAUGUGAUAGAAACCGCAGGUGUACGUAUUUCAGUGUUUUCUGAGCUGUGAGGAAGUGGGGUCACUUCACAAGACAUAGGUCGCCUGUGCUACCACUUCAAAAUGAAGAUGUGACAGGCAGGAUCCCCUCUGGGGUGGAUCGGGUUAAGACAUUCAGACUCUAGGCAGGGAACCGUGUUGUCACGUCCUCGGGUGUUGUCACGUGACCACCUGGCCAGAGCUGGAAAGGGGGUCUCACCCCAGCAAAGCCUCCGUCGGGGGAAACUGCUCACCUUUAAAAGUGAGAAGUGGACCCCGUGCCGUCAGAGCACCGAGUUCUCUGGAAUCACCUGGGGCAGCAGGGGAGGAAGGUGGCCCAGGCCUCUGGGGUCUGGAGGGCUGGCCCGGGUCUGGCCUGUGCAGCCCCUCCCGAUCCACCCAAGGGGCCGACCUGCAGGACGGAGCCCUGAGGAACCAGGUACGAGGCAAACCCAGGGUCGGUAAUGCUUUUCCAAGAGAUGGCAGGCUCUGAACGUGAAGGACAAGGGCCGAGUCCCCCGACCAUUGUGGGAAAUGCCGUCAUUUGCAGGGCUGCAGAGAGGGCGGUGGGAAGCUGUGCCUCCUGCACGUGAGACCCCCGCCUGGUCCUGCACUGAGGGUAGGUGCUCCUUGAGUGGGACCCUGGGUGACUUUCCUGGCACUGGGUCAGUUAACACGUUUCUCCCGGGUAGCUGCCGCUCAUGUUUCUGCUGUUCCCCACGGGCUCCGGCGACCACUGCUCUGUGCUCUGCAGAUGCUGCGUUCCUUACAAAUCCAAGGUCUGUGGCAAUCCUGCGUUGAGCAAAUCUGGUGCCGAUUCUCCAAGUGCAUUUACUCACCUUGUCAUGUUUUAGUUAGAGUGUUUCAAACUUUCAUCAUUUUAUGUGUGGCAGUGAUUUUACUAAUUCUGACUUGGAAAACUCAGGUGCUGGUUAAUGUUUUUUUAGCAAUGAAGUGUUAAGGUGUAUAGGCUGUUCAGAUGUAAGUCUGUAUACAUAACAGACAAACAUAGUGCAAGCAAGCUUUAUAUGCACCGGGACACCCACCAAGUCAUGUGAUUCGUGUUAUUGUGAUCAGUUUCCGGUGAUGGAGAGAUCUUGGGUUCACAUCUGAGGUCUGCCUGUCACACGCCCCGGGGGAGCCUGUGGAGCUCUGGGAACAGGACUGGGGCUCCAGGAACGGUGUGCUCCCCCUGCACCCUGUAGAAGGGACAGCCUGGACCAGUGUGACAGAGGUGACAAGUGGUCGGGAGCAGAGGAGGGUCACAGUCUCUCCCGGACCAAACUGGCUGGGCUCCUCUGAGCAGUUCCCAACUAGGCCCUGACCCUUCAGGCUUCAGCGUCUGGGUUUUCAUUGUUCAUGUUAGCAAGAUUCCUGUUGUCAGUUUAGCCAGAGCUCCCCAGGCUCAACUUCUGACCACCAUCAACAUCUGACUGGAUUCCUCAUCCCCCUUCCUCCCCCUAAUGAGGCCUCACUCUCUGGUCUGCCCUCAGCAUGAAUCCUGUAUGUCGGUUUAAUGCUGUGAUCUGAGUGUGUGUCCCCAAACUCCUGUCGAAUCCUAAUGCCUGACGUGAUGGUGUUGGCCUUUGGGAGGUGAUGAUGUCAUGAGGGUGGAGCCCCUGUGAAUGGGAUUAGCGCCCUGAUAAGAGCCCCCAGUGAGCCCCCAGCCCUUCCCCCAUGUGAGGACACAGGGAGAAGACGCUGUCUGUGAACCAGGAAGAAGCCUCACCAGACGUUGAAUCUGCCGUCACCUUGAUCCUGGACGUCCAGUCUCUAGGCUGUGAGAACUCGACUCAUGUUUAAGCCCCCAGUCUGGUCCUGUUAGAGCAGCUCAGACAGACACCUCCACCCCUGCUGUUUCCUCUGACUUCCCGUUGGUGGCACCACCCUGCUCCUGGCUGUCACCCCCGCAGUGGGAGAACUGCUUUCCAAAAACAACCCUCCACUGAGAAGAGUAAAUUAUACAUUUUUGUCAUCUUAUCCUCGACUGACAGAAGCGAGAAGUGUUAACACCUGUUUCUGCAUUUGUUGGCCAUAACAGUACCAGUGCCUGGAACCCUGGCCCGUAGCUGGGGGAACGCAGUAAAGAUGAAGCUGAAGGAAGACAGGCUGUUGAGAAAAUCAAAGCUGGCUUGGAGUGAAGUGGAGCCCGACGCCUGCCCGACACGCCGGACGAGAGGUUCGAGGGAAGCUGGCUGUGCAUCCGGGGCAGAGGCCUCUCACUAUUGUGACCUCUCCCGUUGCGGAGCACAGGCUCUGGACACGCAGGCUCAGCAGCCAUGGCUCACGGGCCCAGCCACUCCGCGGCAUGUGGGAUCCUCCCGGACCGGGGCACGAACCCGCGUCCCCUGCAUUGGCAGGCGGACUCCCAAACACUGCACCACCAGAGA